CCUCUCGAGCAUCUUGCCCGCUUCGUC
rnacentral:piRNA from 1 species